AGUGAACGCUGGCGGUAGGCCUAACACAUGCAAGUCGAACGGCAGCACAGUAAGAGCUUGCUCUUACGGGUGGCGAGUGGCGGACGGGUGAGGAAUACAUCGGAAUCUACUUUUUCGUGGGGGAUAACGUAGGGAAACUUACGCUAAUACCGCAUACGACCUACGGGUGAAAGCAGGGGAUCUUCGGACCUUGCGCGAUUGAAUGAGCCGAUGUCGGAUUAGCUAGUUGGCGGGGUAAAGGCCCACCAGGGCGACGAUCCGUAGCUGGUCUGAGAGGAUGAUCCGCCACACUGGAACUGAGACACGGUCCAGACUCCUACGGGAGGCAGCGGUGGGGAAUAUUGGACAAUGGGCGCAAGCCUGAUCCAGCCAUACCGCGUGGGUGAAGAAGGCCUUCGGGUUGUAAAGCCCUUUUGUUGGGAAAGAAAAGCAGCAGGUUAAUACCCCGCUGUUCUGACGGUACCCAAAGAAUAAGCACCGGCUAACUUCGUG
rnacentral:rRNA from 1 species